rnacentral:rRNA from 1 species
GCGGGCUGGACCUCUCGGGGGUUACAGCCUUGCUGAAUUAUUCACCCUUGUCUUUUGCGUACUUCUUGUUUCCUUGGUGGGUUCGCCCACCACUAGGACAAACAUAAACCUUUUGUAAUUGCAAUCAGCGUCAGUAACAAAUUAAUAAUUACAACUUUCAACAACGGAUCUCUUGGUUCUGGCAUCGAUGAAGAACGCAGCGAAAUGCGAUAAGUAGUGUGAAUUGCAGAAUUCAGUGAAUCAUCGAAUCUUUGAACGCACAUUGCGCCCUUUGGUAUUCCAAAGGGCAUGCCUGUUCGAGCGUCAUUUGUACCCUCAAGCUUUGCUUGGUGUUGGGCGUCUUGUCUCUAGCUUUGCUGGAGACUCGCCUUAAAGUAAUUGGCAGCCGGCCUACUGGUUUCGGAGCGCAGCACAAGUCGCACUCUCUAUCAGCAAAGGUCUAGCAUCCAUUAAGCCUUUUUUCAACUUUUGACCUCGGAUCAGGUAGGGAUACCCGCUGAACUUAAG